CGCUGUCCACUGCAAAACACACUGGGAAACGCAUCCCCUGCAAACACCCUUCCAGCUGGAUUGGCCGCCCUGCCGCGCGCCCUUCCCCGGACACUGGCGCCUGCACCUCCUGACCUGGGCUCCAGUCAGGCUCUCCAAUUGCAGAGUCUCUGGCUUCAUUCACAGGCCCAACACCCAGGGAAACGGAGAGCUAGAGACACAGAACCCAGAGGCAGCAUCUGGUCACCUUCACCACGUGGCCCAACCACAAUGGGUCCUGUCCGCAGGCCCGCUCCAGGUCCCUUCUGUGUCCACACCUGGGAGGCAUCGGGGGCUCAGGGAGCUCGAAUGAAUGCUCACUGACUGCAGGCUUUGCGUCAGCUGAGGGAUGUGCAAGUUUGCCGGAUAUACAUCGUUUGCUAUAUUUCUCUGUACAAGCAACCGAAAAAUUGGUUUUCCCCGAUCUGCUCCCUCGUUAAAUCGCUUGCACAAGCAUCUACCUCAGCAGCCACCCGUCUCUGACCCCACUCCUCCCUGAACUCAUCUCCGUGCUGGGGAUGCUGGUCUGGGGCUCUCAGCGCCCCUGAAUCUGGGGAUGGGGGCAGUGAUUUCCUCAAGAACAAGGAGAAGUGAGAAGGCUGAGCAGUGGUCCCCAAGGAGUAUGAUGCCCGGUGUGCAGACCGUCAGAUGUCGCUGCUCGGUGGGGUCAGAGUUGGAGGCAGACGGAUGAAGAUGCGCUUCUCCAGGUCUUGGAUGACAGUGGGAGUCUUUUUGCCCCACGGCGAACUGGUUACCAGGUUUCAGUAAGGGUUCAUCUUUGCAAUUACAGUUCAUUAAUAGAUUUACAAGGGAGGGAGGAUGGCGAGGUCCAUCUAAGGGGAUGGCUUUGCAUUUCUCUUGUUUCAUUACACAGUUAUCUCCUGGACCACAGAUCUUUGAAACCCAGGGGGGCCAAAGAAAAAGAGACCCAUCACCCACUUGUUCCAGAUCGGAAUGCAAUUAGGACGGGAGAAGGCACGGCUGCUCGGGGCUUCCCUCCCUCCCUGCUCUUCAGAGCUGCCUCUCAGCCGGGGGCAGGGGGGUAGCUCGGCCCCUGGAGCCUGGCUGGCAUCUGGCGUGUUGGCCUGGGGAGGGGCUGCUCUGCUCACGGGGCAGCCAUAUCUGGGGGUUCAGACCUGGGCAGCCUUGGUCCUCCACUGAGCUACCGUUUCUUGGGCACCUACUAUGUGCUGGGAGCUUUACAUGGACUGUCUAUUUAAACUUCACAGUGGUCGGUUUCACAGCCCCAUUUCACAGACAGAGGAACUAAGGCAGAUGGACGUGCGCAGGGCCCCGGGCUGGAGCAGAGAGGGCGGGCGAUGAACAUCUUACGGGUGUGAAAGGAGGCUCAGAGACACAUAGGUCUGGAACUGGACCCAAGGCUGGAACUGGAGCUGGAACUGGAAGCCAGGCCUGUUACCUCCAAUUUCCUGCUAUUUCUGCUCCCUCUUUGCUGCCAUCUGGGGGCUUUUUCUGGGCCUCUGUUUCCGCAUCUGUGAAAUGGGCCCAGAGACGGGACGCAGGUGAGCGUGAAGUGGUCUUAGGUUUUGGGUGGUGUGUUUUGAAGAG
ensembl:lncRNA